GACGAACGCUGGCGGCGUGCUUAACACAUGCAAGUCGAACGGAAAGGCCCUGCUUUUGUGGGGUGCUCGAGUGGCGAACGGGUGAGUAACACGUGAGUAACCUGCCCUUGUCUUUGGGAUAACUUCAGGAAACUGGGGCUAAUACCGGAUAGGAGCUCCUGCUGCACGGUGGGGGUUGGAAAGUUUCGGCGGUUGGGGCUGGACUCGCGGCUUAUCAGCUUGUUGGUGGGGUAGUGGCUUACCAAGGCUUUGACGGGUAGCCGGCCUGAGAGGGUGACCGGCCACAUUGGGCCUGCGAUACGGCCCAGUCUCCUACGGUAGGCAGCAGUGGGGAAUAUUGCACAAUGGGCGGACGCCUGAUGCGGCAGCGCCGCGUGCGUGAUGCCGGCCUUCGGGUUGUAAACCGCUUUCGCCUGUGACGAGGCGUGAGUGACGGUAAUGGGUAAAGAAGCACCGGCUAACUACGUG
rnacentral:rRNA from 1 species